AGAGUUUGAUCCUGGCUCAGGACGAAUGCUGGCGGCGCGCCUAACACAUGCAAGUCGAACGAGCGAGAGAGAGCUUGCUUUCUCGAGCGAGUGGCGAACGGGUGAGUGACGCAUGAGGAACCUGCCUCAGAGAGGGGGACCACAGUUGGAAACGACUGCUAAUACCGCAUACGCCCACGGCUCGGCAUCGAGCAGAGGGAAAAGGAGCAAUCCGCAUUUGAGGUGGCCUGGCUUCGGAUUAGUUAGUGGGUGAGGUAAUGCCCCACCAAGGCAACGAUAGGUAGCCGGAUUGAGAGGUUGCACGGCCACAUUGGGAUUGAGACACGGCCCAGAUUCUUAGGGGAGGCAGCAGUGGGGAAUAUUGCACAAUGGGGGAAACCUUGAUGCAGCAACGCCGCGUGAAGGAAGAAGGUCUUCGGAUUGUAAAUUUCUGUCCUCAGGGAAGAUAAUGACGGUCCCUGAGGAGGAAGCUCCGGCUAAUUACGUGCCAGCAGCCGCGGUAAUAGGUAGGGAGAGAGCGUUGUCCGGAUUUAUUGGGUGUAAAGGGUGGGUAGGCGGAUGUGCAAUUCAGUAGUGAAAUCCCAGGGUUUACCCCUGGAACUCAUAUUGAAACUUUGGGUCUUGAGUGAGGUAGAGGCAGGCGGAAUUCCCGGUGUAGCGGUGAAAUGCGUAGAGAUCGGGAGGAACACCAGUGGGGAAGGCGGCUUGUUGGGCCUUAACUGACGUUGAGGCAGGAAAGCAUGGGUAGCAAACAGGAUUAGAUCCCUUGGUAGUCCACGCGUGUAAACGAUGAGUACUAGCUGUCGGAGGUUACCCCCUUCGGUGGCGCAGCUAACGCAUUAAGUACUCCGCCUGGGAAGUACGCUCGCAAGAGUGAAACUCAAAGGAAUUGACGGGGACCCGCACAAGCAGCGGAGCAUGUGGUUUAAUUCGAAGCAACGCGAAGAACCUUACCUAAUCUUGACAUCCUUUUGACCGAUGCGUAAUAGCUUCUUUCCCUUUGGGGACAGAAGUGACAGGUGGUGCAUGGUUGUUGUCAGCUUGUGUUGUGAGAUGUUGGGUUAAGUCCCGCAACGAGCGCCACCCUUAUUGCCAGUUAGUACGCAAGAGGCCUUUGGCGAGACUGCCGUUGACAAAACGGAGGAAGGUGGGGAUGACGUCAAAUCAUCAUGCCCCUUAUGAUCUGGGCUACCCACGUACUACAAUGGCGUUUAACAAAGAGAAGCAAGACCGCGAGGUGGAGCAAAACUCAAAAACACCGUCUCAGUUCAGAUUGCAGGCUGCAACUCGCCCGCAUGAAGUCGGAAUUGCUAGUAAUCGCGGAUCAGCAUGCCGCGGUGAAUACGUUCCCGGGCCUUGUACACACCGCCCGUCA
rnacentral:rRNA from 1 species